GGCAGUGGUAGCUUAGUGGUUAAGAUGUUGGACUGCUGAUGGGAAGGGUUGUGAGUUCAAUUCCCAGCACUGCUA